UGGAACCUGUAUCCUCAUGGAUCAUAGUUGGGUUCAUUUCCACUGAGCCACAAUAGGAACUCCUCCCCAGCAUUUAUUAUGUGUAGAAGGUCCACUGCAUUUUUAACCAGUUCCUCUACCGCUUCAAACGCUGGCCCCACAGAGGUGCGCUCAGGGAGAAAACUGCUGAAUUUGCAGAGACGAUUUGCAGUUUUGUCAUUACUUGUCUGGGUUAGCAGGAGCCUCUCAGCCUUGGUCCCAUUUAUGGAAGAACAAAUCCAAGAGCCGUUUUCUUUGCACCUUCCUGAUGUUCAAGCACAAUGUUGCAGUGACUUUGUGUGUCAUGACACAUCGGCUGUGGUUUCAGGAGUUGGUCUGAAACAGCACGUGAAUCCUGGACCAGCUUCCGCUGGUCUGGCCCCUUCAGUGGGUUGUUGAUUGCUUACCUUGAAACGGCACCCGCUUCAACUGGUUUUGCCACCUUGAGGAGGUUGCUGAUUCAUCAAAUCUUGAGUUAUUUUACAAGGACAACCUGGUACCUGUUCAAGACAGAAGCCCACAUCUCCAGGACGACCCCAGAACCAUGAAUCUUCUGUCUGCAGAAACUAAAGAAUAGAAAAGUUGCCGGUGCCACCCUUGACGAGGCGGGAACUCUUUCAAUGGGGAGCAUCUGGCUUCAGCCACAGGGGUAGCAUCUGUGGCCUGACUCAAGACUAGCCAAUCAGCUUCCCCAACUCCUUGAACUCCACCCAGCCUCUGGAUGGAGGAGACAGGUUGGAGAGCCUUGCUUCUGGGCUCCUUGCUGGUUGACCGCACGACAACGCUCUUCCUCUUACUAAAGCUGGUGCCGUGGGUUGGCUUCUGUGCGUGUCCGACGGGGAGCCUCUGCUCGGUGACAAAUCUGACCGUUUCUCAUGUGCCCAGUCGCCUGAGCAUCGGGCGUCUCAGCCAGUACGCCCUCUACACACCCCACUGGCUGCUCAGGAGGUCUGAGAUGUGUGUCCCCGAGGGAUGACGGAACGCUGGUGCUAUUUUUCAUCAGGCUGUUGUGCAGGAUCCCUCUUCGUCCACCGGACGCAAAGGUGUGGGGUCAGGAGAUGCAAACUAGGACACGGAGAAUGGAUGAGCAAAGAGGUCCUGCUGUCCCACACAGGGAACUCUGUCCAGUCUCUUGGGAUAGACCAGGAUGGAAGAUGAUAAGAGAAAAAGAAGCACCUGCCUGGAUUGGGUGUAAAGGAUCCUGAGAGCGACAGCUUGUGACGUCCUCCUGAGUGAUGCUGAGGUGAUGCAGUUGUCGUCUUCA